GGCUCCCAUAGCUCAAGCUGGUUAGAGCGUCGUGCUAAUAACGCGAAGGUCGUGAGUUCGAUCCUCUCUGGAGCCA
rnacentral:tRNA from 1 species